rnacentral:rRNA from 1 species
UAACUCCGGAACCGGGGGCGUAAUACCGGAUAUGACCUCGGACGGCAUCAUCCGAGGUGGAAAGUUUUUCGGCGAGGGAUGGGCCCGCGGCCUAUCAGCUUGUUGGUGGGGUAAGGGCCCACCAAGGCGACGACGGGUAGCCGGCCUGAGAGGGCGACCGGCCACACUGGGACUGAGACACGGCCCAGACUCCUACGGGAGGCAGCAGUGGGGAAUAUUGCGCAAUGGGCGAAAGCCUGACGCAGCGACGCCGCGUGAGGGAUGAAGGCCUUCGGGUUGUAAACCUCUUUCAGCAGGGACGAAAACAGACGGUACCUGCAGAAGAAGCACCGGCCAACUACGUGC